rnacentral:rRNA from 1 species
CUAUCUGCAGUCGAGCGAGAGGUGUAGCAAUACACUUGUAAAGCGGCGAGCGGGUGAGGAAUACAUGGGUAACCUACCAUCGAGUGGGGAAUAACCAGCCGAAAGGUUGGCUAAUACCGCGUACGCCUCCGGAUUUACGGAUUCGGGGGGAAAGCCACGCUGUGAGUGUGGCGCUCAUUGAUGGGCUCAUGUCCUAUCAGCUUGUUGGUAGGGUAACGGCCUACCAAGGCUUUGACGGGUAGCUGGUCUGAGAGGACGAUCAGCCACACUGGCACUGCGACACGGGCCAGACUCCUACGGGAGGCAGCAGUAAGGAAUAUUGCGCAAUGGACGAAAGUCUGACGCAGCGACGCCGCGUGGGGGAUGAAGGUCUUCGGAUUGUAAACCCCUUUCGGGAGGGAAGAUGGAACGAGCAAUCGUUCGGACGGUACCUCCAGAAGCAGCCACGGCCAACUUCGUGCCAGCAGCCGCGGUAAUACGAAGGUGGCAAGCGUUGUUCGGAUUCACAGGGCGUACAGGGUGUGUAGGCGGUUUGGUAAGCCUUCUGUUAAAGCUUCGGGCCCAACCCGGAAAGCGCAGAGGGUACUGCCAGGCUAGAGGGCGGGAGAGGAGCGCGGAAUUCCCGGUGUAGCGGUGAAAUGCGUAGAGAUCGGGAGGAAGGCCGGUGGCGAAGGCGGCGCUCUGGAACGUACCUGACGCUGAGACACGAAAGCGUGGGGAGCAAACAGGAUUAGAUACCCUGGUAGUCCACGCCCUAAACUAUGGAUACUAAGUGUCGGCGGGUUACCGCCGGUGCCGCAGCUAACGCAUUAAGUAUCCCGCCUGGGGAAGUACGGCCGAAAGGUUGAAA